rnacentral:rRNA from 1 species
GACGAACGCUGGCGGCGUGCCUAACACAUGCAAGUCGAACGGAGUUAAGUGCUUCGGUAUUUAACUUAGUGGCGAACGGGUGAGUAACGCGUGAGAAGCCUGCCUAUCAGAGGGGAACAACAGUUAGAAAUGACUGCUAAUACCGCAUAUGCCAUGAGUAUCGCAUGAUACAAAUGGGAAAGGAGCAAUCCGCUGAUAGAUGGGCUUGCGUCUGAUUAGAUAGUUGGUGUGGUAACGGCAUACCAAGUCGACGAUCAGUAGCCGGACUGAGAGGUUGAACGGCCACAUUGGGACUGAGAUACGGCCCAG